GAAAACGCGUAGUGGUGAUAAUG
rnacentral:siRNA from 1 species